UUUCUUUGGCAGCACAUAUACUAGAAUUGGAACAAUACAGAGAAGAUUGGUCUGGCCCCUGCGCAAGGAUGACGCACAAAUUCAUGAAACGUUCCAUAUUUUU
ensembl:snRNA U6 U6 spliceosomal RNA